rnacentral:rRNA from 1 species
AGUGAACGCUGGCGGUAGGCCUAACACAUGCAAGUCGAACGGCAGCACAGUAAGAGCUUGCUCUUACGGGUGGCGAGUGGCGGACGGGUGAGGAAUACAUCGGAAUCUACUUUUUCGGGGGGGAUAACGUAGGGAAACUUACGCUACUACCGCAUACGACCUACGGGUGAAAGCAGGGGAUCUUCGGACCUUGCCCGAUUGAAUGAGCCGAUGUCGGAUUAGCUAGUUGGCGGGGUAAAGGCCCACCAAGGCGACGAUCCGUAGCUGGUCUGAGAGGAUGAUCAGCCACACUGGAACUGAGACACGGUCCAGACUCCUACGGGAGGCAGCAGUGGGGAAUAUUGGACAAUGGGCGCAAGCCUGAUCCAGCCAUACCGCGUGGGUGAAGAAGGCCUUCGGGUUGUAAAGCCCUUUUGUUGGGAAAGAAAAGCAGCAGGUUAAUACCCCGCUGUUCUGACGGUACCCAAAGAAUAAGCACCGGCUAACUUCGUG